rnacentral:lncRNA from 1 species
CUAAACUAAUUCUAUAUUUGUUAAAGGUGUGUAUAAACAUGUCAAUUUUGCCCAAUAUGUCUUGACAUUUUGUAAGAUGCAAAAAAAAAAAAAAAAAAUUGGUGACUUCGUUUAAUCAUUAUCAUAAGAGUGAAGUUUUAUUCUGGUCUCUAAUGAAAAAAAAUAUGGAACAGUUAGUCUCUAAACAAAAAUUCAUAGACAAAUUCAGUGAUUACAUAGACAGUUAAAUCGACUGUGAAUAUUUAGUAGGAGACAUUGUGGCACUGUAACAAAAAAAAUGAAAGGGUAUAAGUAAGUCCCACACAAAACUUGAUCCGGCUGAGCUGAAAUGUAAACUAGACGCAGCAAUUUACCAUCAAUAAGGAUGUUAUGGAGUAGGGAUGUACAUUCGGAAUCAGAAAGGGGAAUUCGUCAAACCCAAUACUAUUUGGAUUUUGGAAGGAGGCAUCUAUUCCAUUUCUGUAGGCUGAUGCUUUAGGAUUAUAUGAAGCCUUACUAUGGCUAAGUGAGUUGGGUUGCAAAACUUUUAGUUUCAUUAGGUAGCAAACAAAUCUUGUAGCUCACACCCUUGCAAGAACGUCUAAUUUUAAUUUUCCAAGUUUUUAAUUUUAGCCUAAUCUAUAUUAUGAAUACUUUCUUGAAUGGAAUUUAUUAUGAAUAUUGUAAAAAAAUAUAUAUAAAAAAAAGUGUUUGUAUGUAACAAUUCUUUUAUUUUUCGUAGAGAUUGUA